GCUGAAUUCUUGAUCGCCACUUGUGUCUUGCUUCCUAUAGCUGUUUACCUUUUUUCAGUGACUGAAAUGUAAGACACACUUCCUUCCUGCUUCCAUGAAGACUAUUUCCUUUGAUCUCUUAUCACACACAAUCAAUCAGAUGCCAGCAGUGUCCCAGAAGACUGGAUGGCUGGGCUGCGCCUAACUGGGAGUUUUCAAAAACAGCAUAAGGGAAGUUGCUCCAGCUCCAAGCACAGUGCCGUCCUUCUGGACUCAGAGGGCUGCUGAUAGCAUCCCGGCUGCUUGGUUCCCCACCUGUUUGACUGCAGAACAACAGGGUCACAUUAGGCACACAGGAAUGUAUCAGAGUCUCAAGAGCACCUGCACAAAAGCCAGGGGUUGUGGAGCUUGGCGAUGGGAAACAGUGAACCUGUGAUUCCUUCUAACUCCUGGAAAACAGUCUUCUCUAUUCUGCCCCAUCCAGAGCCCAGCAUACGGCUCUGCCUGUGCUGAGACCCGUCUGGUCUUGAAUUUUGCUGCACAGAACUGAGAAAGAAUGAGCACUCUCUAGAAGUAAAAACUGGUCUCUGUGUUUCUAAGGAACUGAUGAUGGUAUGGAGAGAUGCAGAAGGACACCCACAGAUGAGAUAGAAGAGUGGGGCCCAACAUGACGUUCGGGGUGUCCCUACUGAAUUCCGUAGCCACUACCCACAUGUGGCUAAUGAGCACCUGAAAUGUGGCUAGGGCAACUGAGGCACGGAAUUUUA